rnacentral:rRNA from 2 species
GUGGCGGACGGGUGAGUAACGCGUGGGUAACCUGCCUCAUACAGGGGGAUAACGGUUAGAAAUGACUGCUAAUACCGCAUAAGCGCACAGUACCGCAUGGUACGGUGUGAAAAACUCCGGUGGUAUGAGAUGGACCCGCGUCUGAUUAGCUAGUUGGUGGGGUAACGGCCCACCAAGGCGACGAUCAGUAGCCGACCUGAGAGGGUGACCGGCCACAUUGGGACUGAGACACGGCCCAG